AUACCCAUACUUGCAAGUCCUUCAUUUCAUACCACAUCAUAUCUAUUGGCCUUCUUAUUUCAAAGCAUGUUAAUGACCACCAAAAGAAUUAAACAUCUUAUGAGAGUUCAUAUUUCAAAAGCACAUGAAAACUUAUGUCAAAGCACUCUCUUAUCGAUACUCUAACAUACAGUGGUCGUAUAUUUCAUCAAUUACAUACAUUUCUCUAUUUCGAAUAUGAGCAUUUAUAAAUCAAGGAAACACCCUCUCAUUUAGUCAUAAAAAUAGUAUAAUUCAUAAAUGACA
rnacentral:lncRNA from 1 species